GCUGGGGUGGCAUAGUGGUUUGACCAUCGGAUUACAACUCUGGAGACCAGGGAUCGAAUCCUGCUCAGUCA